rnacentral:rRNA from 1 species
UACGUAUGGUGCAAGCGUUAUCCGGAUUUACUGGGUGUAAAGGGAGCGCAGGCGGCUCGUCAAGUCUGAUGUGAAAUCCCGGGGCUCAACCCCGGAACUGCAUUGGAAACUGGUGAGCUAGAGUGUCGGAGAGGUAAGUGGAAUUCCUAGUGUAGCGGUGAAAUGCGUAGAUAUUAGGAGGAACACCAGUGGCGAAGGCGGCUUACUGGACGAUAACUGACGCUGAGGCUCGAAAGCGUGGGGAGCAAACAGG